ACCUGUGUGUGUGUGUGUGUGUGUGUGUGUGUGUGUGUGUGUGUGUGCGCGUGCCCGCGCACAUGCGC
rnacentral:miRNA from 10 species